rnacentral:rRNA from 1 species
AGAAUGAACGCUGGCGGCGUGCUUUACACAUGCAAGUCGAGCGAGGCGGGUAGCAAUACCCAGUCGAGCGGCGAACGGGUGAGUAACACGUGGAUCAUCUACCUUCAGGUGGGGGAUAACCCGGGGAAACCCGGGCUAAUACCGCAUAACAUCGCGAGAUCAAAGGGGCGCAAGUCCCGCCAGAAGAGGAGUCCGCGUUCGAUUAGCUAGUUGUAGGUAUGGCCUACAGCCACGAUCGAUAGCCGGCCUGAGAGGGUCGAUCGGCCACACUGGAACUGAGACACGGUCCAGACUCCUACGGGAGGCAGCAGUGGGAAUUUGCGCAAUGGGCAAAGCCUAGACGACAGACAACGCCGCGUUGGAGGAUGAAGGUCUUUGGA